rnacentral:lncRNA from 1 species
CUCUGUAAGGCGGGCAGAGGCAUAGGCCGAAGCUCCAAGGCAGGCGGCAGGUUCACAGAAGCCCGGCAGCCCCACGGGGCCUGGCAGGCCAGGUCGACCUGCCUCUCCUGGAGCCCCUGGGGACCCUCGAUCUCCAUCCUUGCCGUUGAUUGCCUGGCCAGGCCGGCCAGGGAGUCCUGGGAUCCCUGGGGGCCCAGGCAUCCCGGGGUGCCCCCGUCCCACUUCUCCUGGAUCACCCUUCUCUCCACGUUUUCCCUUGGGCCCCGUGUUGCCGAUCUGACCCACGGCUCCCACGAUGCCAGGAACGCCCCGAGGGCCAGGGUGCCCAUGGGGGCCCUGCUUGCCUGGGUACCCA